UACGUAGGGUGCAAGCGUUGUUCGGAGUUACUGGGCGUAAAGGGUGCGUAGGCGGUCCUAUAAGUAUGGUGUGAAAUCUCCCGGCUUAACUGGGAGGGUGCGCUAUAGACUGUGGGACUAGAGUGUGGGAGAGGAAAGUGGAAUUCCUGGUGUAGCGGUGAAAUGCGUAGAUAUCAGGAGGAACACCGGUGGUGUAAACGGCUUUCUGGACCAUAACUGACGCUGAGGCACGAAAGCGUGGGUAGCAAACAGG
rnacentral:rRNA from 1 species